UAAAAAACUCAGAAAGAUUUCUUGAUGCUGUUAGUAGUCUGCAGACAAAACUGGAGUCAACUGAGGAGCUGAUAAGACCAAAAUCAAUAAAUACAAAAAUAUAGCAAUAUGUUUCUAACUAUGAAAUUCAAAGGAGCUCAAAAUCUAUUGAAAAAGAAAUUCAAAUUGAAAAAACAGCAAAUCAUGAAGUAGACAUGUCUCAUAUAACCAGUAUCACAAGCAACAAUGAUGAAAAUAUCUGGAU
rnacentral:lncRNA from 1 species